AAGUAAAAUAGUAAAUAAAUAAAUAAAUAAAAUUGUAAUAAAUAAAUAAAUGUCAUAAGUAAACAUUAAAUGAAUGAAUGGAUGAGUUUAGAUAUUCAUCUAAGUCUGAAAUGUACUUAGUUUCUGACCAGUGAACUGUAAGGAAUUUAUGAGCUAAUAAUGUAAUAAUUGUUUGUUUUAUCGAAUAAUUAUUUUGUUUUAUAAAACCAUAAAUUGUCUCCUCCAGAGAAGUGACUGAGAAAUAAAUGAGACCGGUUUACAGCGUGUCUUUGGGGUACCGUUACCGGUACCGCUUGCGCGUCACCGGGUGCGAGUGCGCGCGCUCCGCGUGGCUAUAAAGGAAACUGCGCGCGCUCCGGUGGCGUUAAGAGUGCGCGAGGGGGUUGUUCAGAGAGCUGGAGCCGACAUGAUCACUCUGUGCACCGGAACCGUGUGGUUUAUAUCGCUUACAGCAGCCGUUUGGGCGAGUUUGCACCCGGAGUGCGAGUAUAUAUUCCAGCUGGAGCGAGAAGAGCAGCUCUGUCUGAAAGGAAUCGCUGAACAUGAAAACCUCAGCGCUUCAGGGCAGACGGGCUGCCUGCCAGCAUGGGACUCUGUGGUGUGUUGGCCCAGAGCUGCAGUUGGAGAAAUCGUACAGUCCCCAUGUCCUGCUGUUUUCUCUCUCUUUAGCAACCACACAGGUACAGUGAGUCGGAACUGCACCGGUUUGGGCUGGUCGCACCCGUUCCCUCCCUACCACGAAGCCUGCAGCAUCGACGACGACAUCCCAGAGGAAUCAUACUUCACCACAGUGCGACUGAUCUACUCCAUCGGCUACGGAGCCUCUCUGAUCUCGCUGUCUGUUGCGGUUGUAGUCCUGCUGAUCUUCAGGAGGCUGCACUGUGCAAGAAACUACAUCCACAUCCAGCUGUUCAUCAGCUUCAUCCUCAAAGCAGCGUCUGUGUUCAUUAAGGACGCUACGCUCUUUGGCAGCGAAGAUAUCGACCACUGUUCCCUCUCUACUGCAGGUUGUAAGGCUUCUGUCGUGUUCUGUCAUUACUGUGUGAUGAGUAAUUUCUCCUGGCUGCUGGUGGAGGCGGUGUAUCUCAACUCUCUACUGCUGUCUGCUCGGAGUCGCCCCUGUCUCUGGGGCUUCUCUCUGCUGGGCUGGGGAGGUCCUUCGGUAUUUAUCCUGCUCUGGAUCGUCUCCCGGCUCUAUUUUGAGGACACAGAAUGCUGGGACAUUAACGAAGAUUCUCCUUACUGGUGGAUCAUCAAGGGUCCCAUUAUCAUAUCUAUCGGGAUCAACUUUCUGUUGUUCUUGAACAUCAUCAGGAUACUGGUGCAGAAGUUGAACCCGCGUCUAAUCCAGUUCAACAACUCGGCACAGUACAGACGCCUGACCAAGUCGACGCUUCUGCUCAUCCCUCUGUUCGGGACACAUUACGUGGUGUUCAACUUCCUGCCGGACUACACUAACAUCAGCCUGCGUCUGUGUUUAGAGCUGUGCCUCGGCUCGUUUCAGGGUCUCAUAGUGGCCAUUCUGUACUGUUUCCUCAACCAAGAGUCUGGCAUCCGAUCCACGGCGUAUUUCCAUCUCAUUUUCAGUGAGAUAGACUGCAGAUUCACCGUGACUCUGCCCAGGAUACCGUGCUUACCAAAGAUAAAUCAUUUGUGUGCUUCAAUAUAACAAUAACAGCAGCAAAAUACAACAUAAAACAAAAUAUUAUGAAUGAAAGAGUGCCUGUAUUUCACACAGACAUACUGUUAUUGUGUGGAAUUGAUCCAGUAUAUAUGUAUGUAUGUGUGUGUGUGUUUUAGGUCCAGAAGGAGGUGCGACUGAUGUGGAUGCGCUGGCAGGAGAGCAGUUACGGAGUCGUUAUCGCUGGUGCCAAAGGCAGUCAGAUGGAUACACCAUUCUGAUUCGAUGUCUGUGUUCAACACUCAAGAGACUCUGGGGUUUAUUUAUUUAUUUCCCCUAUUUAUCUGAUAUUUUUUGCCCACAGCAAGGCAGCACGGCUGCAAUGGUUGGCUCCUGUUGUCAAAUGAUGGCUUCGCUGUAGUGCUUCAGGUCUCGUGUGGGACUCGCAUGUGGUUCAGGAAGCUGUGACGCUGUGACGCAAAACUGACUGGAGUCGAAAGAAAGGAAACACAUGACAUCGCCUCGAGAUUUAAGAAUAAUAGCCAAAGCUGGGCAUCUCACUUCUGACUGGGGGUGGAGCUUAUUUCUGGGCUGGAAAUUUUUAAAACGGAAGUCUGAAAUAAACCAGAUUAAGAGAAAUACUGCAGAAAAAUAGAACAAAUCUCAGUUUUUCUUAAAAAUCAUUGACGUUAUAAGAUUAUUCCUGAUUUUGACACACAUUUAAAAAUGACAAAUGACACCUUUAAUUAUUGCAAUCUAGUACAAGCUGGGAAGAGCUGAUUUACUCAAGAGAAUCAUUAAAACCUAGACUAGGUUGUGACAUUUAAAGGUUGUGUUUGUGUGUAUGUGUGUGAAUUUUCUUUAAAGGACACUACAAGGGACAAAAACAUUCAUAUCACACAGUAAUAAGCCCAGAAUGUUACCGGCCCACGUGGUAUUCUCGUAAGUGUCCCCAAAACACGACCGAUGUUCCAGACAUAUGCCUUAAAAAUGUGUUCGCUCACUUCACUGAUUUUAAAGUUAGUAAGCUUAGAUGUUUUAGUUUUAAAGACAGAAUAGCACGGAUCCUAUACGGAAAAAAAAAAACCCGAGCAGACUGUUUAAGAGAAGGCACUGGUGCUGUUUUGAGAGAGAUAGCUAUCAUUUCGGCUCUGUCAGAGUCACCAUGACACUACGUUUUAAAGCAGAAAUCAGGAGGGUUCAUGAAAGACGGAAAAUGGUAGCGGAUGUGAGACGAGACUGUGAUCAUUUAGCAGAUUUCGACAUGAAAUGAUACCAUCGUCUUUCUUUUUUAGGCAUCUGUAUAGAAUGAUUCCUUUUUUAUACACCAAAUCUAUUUAAAAUCAAUUUUAUAAUCCAUCUAAAUGCAGUACUUUUUUUUUGUGGUGAUAUUCAGCCUUUUUGCUCUUGUUGUUCUCUUUUGGGAAAAGAAAAUUGGAAACAUUCGUACAGUCUGUUGUCAUAUUCUGCACUGUUCUUCUCACAGUUUUCUCCUUCAUGUAUUAAACAUAUUUAUCCACAGAAAUGAACCAAAGCAUAGUUUGUCUAUCUUCUUUUAUGUUUGUUGUACAGUAUUUUGAUGUGUAUACUUAUUAUUGACAUUUACUGCCUGAUGAAUCACCAACUGAAGUGUAAAAAAAGAAAAGAAGAAAGUAUGUAAAAGUUUUUUAUAUUUUACCGACUGUGUGAAUACGCUUUCUUUUAUCAUUCUGCUCUUGAGUCUAAUUGUGUUUUUACAAUUAUUUAUUUGCCUGUGAGAACAAUGUAUUUCAAGCAUGAUAAUCAAAUUAAAACAUUUCAUUAAAUCUAAA